CGGGGGCAUUGCCCACCGACACCCUGUCCCUCUGUGCUCGAUGCUUUGGGUUCAGCCGUUGGCAUUCGUCCUUUCAGUUUGCCAAAAGCUUUUUCUGCAUGUUUUUGCCAGGUCUAACAUUUUUGGGGUGGAUUCAGUUCUUCAAGUGUUUGAAGGACUGGGUUCAUCGAGGGAAUUUCUUCACCAACGACUUCUAUGCUUCCAGUGAAUGGUGAUGAGGCCCCUGGCCGUAUCAAGCUCUUCACAGCAGGCUGGUCUAGCAGCCACCAUGAAUAAGCUCUUCACAGCAGUCAUUUUUCCUUUUUUUUCCAAAGAGAUUAGAAGAGUGUGAUUCACAAAUCUAGAAGUACCCUAAAUUAAUCUAUUCAAUGGGAUACUUUGGUCU